AUUCUGUGCUGGAUAUUCAACCAGUAGGUUUCAAAAGCACAUUGGCAAGCAUGGCGAGGGGAAUGUGUUUGGGACCAGGGAUUCAAAUUCUUUGUCUGAUUCUUCUUUUGGAAACGUGUGUAGGCCCUGUAACUGCAGAGUUUUCUUAUGUCGAUCUUGUCAUGAACUCUGCGGGCACAAUUCAAAAGAAUCUCCAACUCCAAAAGAAGCUAGCUCCACUGCUGCAUUCAGAGGAAUUCUGGAAUUGGACACAGCAAUUGAACAGCAGACAUACAUUGCUGCGAAUGGCAGCACUCUCUGCUGAAGAUAAUUUUACUUCUUACAACAGAACUGAGUUUAAAGAAACUUCUUCCGAAAAAGAUCUUAGUUUAUUAGACUUGAUUGGCCGUCUCAUUGGUAAUUCCACUUUGUUGAAUAGCGGCCUGCCCCCUUCUCUAUCCAGCCAAUCCAUAGGGAGUGCUAUUGGUCAGCUCUUGUCCAGCUUUCAAUCAACCACCACAGUCAACAGAAACAACACAGAUGAAGGAAGUCCAUCUUCAGCAAAUGAUUUGAUACAAUCACCAAAAUACAAGGGAGGCCUUCCAGAAUCUAUAACAAAUAUUCUCGGUAGUGUAUUACAAGAAAAUAAUAUGUCUCCAUCUGAGGCUAUUUUCGAACAAAUCAAAGGCGCAAUUGAGAAUUCUAAUGCUUCAGAGAGUUGCAAAGAAGAUGCAUUUAGAGUUUCUGAUGGUCUACAAACUCAACAGCCAUGGGCUUUAAGAAUGUUUGAUGCCUCAGCAAAGAUUCCAACAGAUUUGUUGAAUUUGAACAUCUUCUGGACAGGAUCCUAUGAUGAGUGUUACAGUGACAGUUCAGUGGCUGCAGCCCUCCUCCAUCCAAAGACCCGUCUCCCCUCUGUGAAACCACGCUUUUGCACUGUUCUUGUCAAUUUGCCUUUUGCAUUUGGAGCAGGUGGUGGGGUAAUGUGUUUAAAAUCAUGAUGUGUUGUAUUGUCCCGACAAGGGGUGAAAUGAUACUGCAUCAUCACAAUUUGAUGGGAUUUUCAAUGUAUGUUUUGACUGUGAAACUUCAUUUACAAAUGUUUUAUUGACACCUCAAAUAUAUUCAAUAGAUUAACACUUUUAAUAUACCUCUGUGUAUUUUUCAACAUAAAAUCAUGAUGAAAUUACCUUCUAUUUCAUUUUUAUUAUUUCAACAUCAGGAAAAUAUAAUAUUGAUAUUUCUUGUGUAACAAGGAAAUAGUUGAAAAUGCUGCCUUUUCAUCUUUUGAAUCAUAGGGGGCUUUUGAUGCCAGUAAGUUGAAAAUAGAUACUUGUUUACCGAAGUCCUGUAGCAGUCAAGACACAAAAGUCCUGGCAAACCUUCGUAAGAUGCAUUCAUUUGGACUUACAUGUAGUAUACAAAACUGAUUUGAAUUUAAUGACUAUAUAAUUUUAAAAACUUACUAUUUUUCAGAUAUCAAAUAUGUUGUUUACCUACCAAUUUCUCUUUUCUUUCCUCUAUCUAAAUAACUUGUUCUCUAACUCCAUGUUUGUAUUAUUAUUUUGUAGAGAUUAAAUAUAUUAUUUACUUUUUACUGAUCUUUUUUUAGUGUUAGGUUCUAUUCCUUCUGUGCGGAACUUUUCCUUUGCAGCUUCGUCUGCAUAUUGUCAACCAACUCCAGAGGAAGUGCCGUAUGAAACUAAGGACAUAGUCAUGAUGUGAGAUAAAACUUGUCAUAUUGGAAUCUAUUUCAUUUCUGUCUUUUGACUUCCUUACCUCUGUAAAGGGAAGUACGAAAAGUCAUUCCCAAAAGUACUGUGUCAUCCUGAAGUAUUUUCAAAUAAUGACAUUAAUGUAACAUGCUUUUGAACUUAUGCACUGAAGUAUCUUGAAGGAUAUGCAAAAGCAUGCAACAUACACUUGAUCACUGUGCAAAAGAAGUUGUUUUC
rnacentral:misc_RNA from 1 species